rnacentral:rRNA from 1 species
GCGUAGGUAACCUGCCUUGUAGCGGGGGAGUAACUAUUGGAAACGAUAGCUAAUACCGCAUAACAAUGGAUGACACAUGUCAUUUUAUUUUGUAAAAGGGGCAAUUGCUCCACUACAAGAUGGACCUGCGUUGUAUUAGCUAGUAGGUGAGGUAAUGGCUCACCUAGGCGACGAUACAUAGCCGACCUGAGAGGGUGAUCGGCCACACUGGGACUGAGACACGGCCCAGACUCCUACGGGAGGCAGCAUG